rnacentral:rRNA from 1 species
UGGGGAAUUUUGGACAAUGGGCGCAAGCCUGAUCCAGCCAUGCCGCGCGCGGGAAGAAGGCCUUCGGGUUGUAAACCGCUUUUGUCAGGGAAGAAAUCUUCUGAGUUAAUACCUCGGGAGGAUGACGGUACCUGAAGAAUAAGCACCGGCUAACUACGUGCCAGCAGCCGCGGUAAUACGUAGGGUGCAAGCGUUAAUCGGAAUUACUGGGCGUAAAGCGUGCGCAGGCGGUUUUGUAAGACAGAGGUGAAAUCCCCGGGCUCAACCUGGGAACUGCCUUUGUGACUGCAAGGCUUGAGUGCGGCAGAGGGGGAUGGAAUUCCGCGUGUAGCAGUGAAAUGCGUAGAUAUGCGGAGGAACACCGAUGGCGAAGGCAAUCCCCUGGGCCUGCACUGACGCUCAUGCACGAAAGCGUGGGGAGCAAACAGGAUUAGAUACCCUGGUAGUCCACGCCCUAAACGAUGUCAACUGGUUGUUGGGAAGGUUCCUUCUCAGUAACGUAGCUAACGCGUGAAGUUGACCGCCUGGGGAGUACGGCCGCAAGGUUGAAACUUAAAUGAAUUGACGGGGUCAUAGCUG